GCUCGAUAAAAAAAAGAGAAAAAGGGGUGAGUAAUGUCUGGGAAAUUUGCCUGAUGGAGGGGGAUAACUACUGGAAACGGUAGCUAAUACCGCAUAACGUCUCAAGACCAAAGAGGGGGACCUUCGGGCCUCUUGCCAUCGGAUGUGCCCAGAUGGGAUUAGCUAGUAGGUGGGGUAACGGCUCACCUAGGCGACGAUCCCUAGCUGGUCUGAGAGGAUGACCAGCCACACUGGAACUGAGACACGGUCCAGACUCCUACGGGAGGCAGCAGUGGGGAAUAUUGCACAAUGGGCGCAAGCCUGAUGCAGCCAUGCCGCGUGUAUGAAGAAGGCCUUCGGGUUGUAAAGUACUUUCAGCGGGGAGGAAGGGAGUAAAGUUAAUACCUUUGCUCAUUGACGUUACCCGCAGAAGAAGCACCGGCUAACUCCGUGCCAGCAGCCGCGGUAAUACGGAGGGUGCAAGCGUUAAUCGGAAUUACUGGGCGUAAAGCGCACGCAGGCGGUUUGUUUAGUCAGAUGU
rnacentral:rRNA from 1 species